rnacentral:rRNA from 1 species
UACGGGGGAGGCAAGCGUUGUCCGGAAUCACUAGGCGUAAAGGGCAAGUAGGCGGAUUGAUAAGUUACGGGUUAAAUUUAGAGGCUCAACCUUUAACCAGCUUGUGAUACUGUCAAUCUAGAGUCAGGCAGGGGAAGACGGAAUUCCCGGUGUAGCGGUGGAAUGCGCAGAUAUCGGGAAGAACACUCAUGGCGAAGGCAGUCUUCUGGGCCAUGACUGACGCUCAAUUGCGAAGGUGUGGGUAUCAAACAGG